rnacentral:lncRNA from 1 species
AGUUAGUCGCUAUCCGCAGGUGGUUAAGCCAACCGAAGGUAGUUAGGCGAACCGCGUGUUGAUUUAAUUGAGACUUUGGGUGUUGCCUGACUAGCGUAUAAGGCGCUUUCCGUUGUGAUUUGAGGAUGUUAGGUUGUCGUUCAUCUGUCGUUAGUCGGAUGAGCGUUACGCAUCCAGGGUAGGGCCGGGUGUGAUAAGGCCCGGCGUGGAUCAGUCGGUACUUCGCCAUAAAUGUGAGUGCGAAGAGGCCAAACACUUGUCGUUUGGCUCUCGAAGCAACUCUUCGUGAGCGUAUAGACCAUUAUAUUAUUGGAGAUAAUAUAAUUAUAGGAGGGUUGAUAGGCCUGUUUUGGUGUAACAAGACUGUGAUCCUACCCUACCUCGAGACGCGCAUCAGAGCAGGAUAGACAGAGAGUGUACACACAGCAUUCCAUAAGGUCCGCCCUUAGUGCUCAUACCUCUAGGCUCGACAGGGAUCCGUUCCCAGCCCGUCCUCGCCUACCACGAUCACGCUCAUCAAGUUGAGUAAGCUGGAGUGAGCCAGCCGAGUCAAGCCGGAGCUUUAAGGAGAGCUCCUAUUGUAUAAUCAUCAUUCACCCACAGCCAAACGACCGAGAAGGUCGGCAAGUCGUCCUGAAGUAGGCGGCCGCAAGAAGUAAGGAAUCGGGCACCAGUACCCCGAGUUUAUUGUGCAGCUAUUAUUGAAAGCGAUCCGUCGCUGUAUAUUCUCCAAGUGGUGUCACCCAUCUAUUGAGUUAGGCUUUUCGCGUCCGCGCACUAAGCCAACACAGCUUGUCAGCCUUCCGAGGCACAUCGAAUACGCAGUGUUAAUCGGCCUCAGGUUACUUCUUCGCCUGGUUCCGAUGAGCGCGAGGAGCGCAGGCGCGUUAACCCUCCGGCGGCAGCCAUCCGUGGCAUCAGUGCCGCACUUGUCGCGUUUUUAUUUCUUUGCCGCAAAGCUGCUGUUAUUAUCCAGCUUGUGAGCUUUUGGCGUGGUUGAUCUGGCUAGCAGUGAGUCAGGAUCCGUAGCCGAAGCACCCUUUCAGUGUGGAGCUUCCGAGCUCCUGGGUGUUGUCUGGCACUCCACGCGCCCAUCGGGCAUAUUUGUGUGAUUAUAUGAAGUGUGGAACCAGCUAGUGGUGGCUCUAUUGGUGCAUCCGUGUGCCGAGCCCUAGCUGUUGGAGAACUAUUAAUAUUUGCCGUACUCAGCCACCAAGCACUCCGAGCGUUGGUGUGUGUCCCAGGACUAUCGUACGUGCACACAGGCUCCGGCCAUACAGACUCAUCAGUGAGAUAGUGUCCCCGGACAUCACUGAACACUGCGCUCUCACUAGAACCUUGUAAGAGUCUCAUCAUCUUUUGAGCGCUGGCGGACUCUCUACGUCGUGUCAAUCCCCACCGCUCAGCUCGGCCCCC